rnacentral:tRNA from 18 species
GAUAGAGCAGUUUGGUAGCUCGUCGGGCUCAUAACCCGAAGGUCAAUGGUUCAAA